GCAGCCGCCGCGGUAAUACAGAGGGUGCGAGCGUUAAUCGGAUUUACUGGGCGUAAAGCGUGCGUAGGCGGCUUUUUAAGUCGGAUGUGAAAUCCCUGAGCUUAACUUAGGAAUUGCAUUCGAUACUGGGAAGCUAGAGUAUGGGAGAGGAUGGUAGAAUUCCAGGUGUAGCGGUGAAAUGCGUAGAGAUCUGGAGGAAUACCGAUGGCGAAGGCAGCCAUCUGGCCUAAUACUGACGCUGAGGUACGAAAGCAUGGGGAGCAAACAGGAUUAGAUACCCCAGUAGUCCCUGUCUCUUAUAC
rnacentral:rRNA from 1 species